CCUUCUCAAAAAGGCCUUCCCUGAUCACUCUAUUUAAAAUAGCCUCUCCAGAUACGUUUGUCAGCUUGCUUCUUUCUGCCUGUGGACACCACCCAAGAAGCAUCACUAUAGUCUCUCUUCUCCCUUACGUCAUGUCUAAGUCAGAGUCUCCUAAAGAGCCCAAACAGCUGAGGAAGCUCUUCAUUAGAGGUUUGAGCUUUGAAACAACCGUUGAGAGCCUGAGGAGCCAUUUUGAGCGAUGGGGAACGCUCGCAGACUGUGUGGUAAUGAAAGAUCCAAACACCAAGCGCUCCAGGGGCUUUGGGUUUGUUACAUACGCCACUGUGGAGGAGGUGGAUGCAGCCACGAACACAAGGCCACACAAGGUGGAUGGAAAAGUUGUAGAACCAAAGAGAGCUGUCUCAAGAGAAGAUUGUCAAAGACCAGGUGCCCACUUAACUGUGAAAAAGAUAACUUGUUGGUGGCAUUGAAGAAGACACUGAAGAACAUCACCUAAGAGAUUAUUUUGAACAGCAUGGAAAAAUUGAAGUGAUUGAAAUAAUGACUGACUGAGGCAGUGGCAAGAAAAGGGGCUUUGCCUUUGUAACCUUUGACGACCAUGAAUCCGUGAAUAAGAUUGUCAUUCCAAAAUACCAUACUGUGAAUGGCCACAACUGUGAAGUUAGGAAAGCCCCGUCAAAGCGAGAGAUGGCUAGUGCUUCUUCCAGCCAAAGAGGUCAAAGUGGUUCUGGAAACUUUGGUGGUGGUUGUGGAGGUAGUUUCGGUGGGAAUGACAACUUUGGUCAUGGAGGAAAUGUCAGUGGUCGUGGUGGCUUUGGUGGCAGCCGUGGUGGUGGUGGAUAUGGUGGCAGUGGGGAUGGCUAUAAUGGAUUUGGUAAUGAUUGAAGCAAUUUUGGAGGUGGUGGAAGCUACAAUGAUUUUGGCAAUUACAACAAUCAGUCUUCAAAUUUUGGACCCAUGAAGGGAGGAAACUUUGGGGCAGAAGCUCUGGCCCCUAUGGUGGUGGAGGCCAAUACUUUACCGAACCACAGUGUCUAUGGCGGUUCCAGUAGCAGCAGUAGCUAUGGCAGUGGCAGAAGAUUUUAAUUAGGAAACAAAGCUUAGCAGGAGUGGAGAGCCAGAGAAGUGACAGGGAAGCUACAGGUUACAACAGAUUUGUGAACUCAGCCAAGCACAGUGGUGGCAGGGCCUAGCUGCUACAAAGAAGACAUAUUUUAGACAAAUACUCAUGUGUAUGGGCAAAAAACUCAAGGAUUGUAUUUGUGACUAAUUGUAUAACAGGUUGUUUUAUUUUCUGUUCUGUGGAAAAUGUAAAGCAUUCCAACAAAGGGUUUUAAUGUAGUUUUAUUUUUUUGCACCCAUGUUGUUGAUUGCUAAAUGUAACAGUCUGAUCGUGACACUGAAUAAAUGUCUUUUUUU